ACGAAGAUAUUUCUUUUUCUACCAUUGGCCUCAAAGCGCUUGAAAUCUCCACCUGCAAAUUCCACAAAGAGAGUUUCAAAUCUGCUCUGUCUAAAGGAAGGUUCAACUCUGUGACUUGAAUACACACAACACAAAGAAGUUACUGAGAAAUUCUCCGUCUAGCAUUAUAUGAAGAAAUCCCGUUACCAACGAAGGCCUCAAAGUGGUCCUAAUAUCCACUUGCAGACUUUACAAACAGAGUGUUUCCAAACUGCUCUAUGAAAAGAAAGGUUACACUCUGUGAGUUGAACGCACACAUCACAAAG
rnacentral:lncRNA from 1 species